CCCAGCCGGCACACGACCGACCUUCAACGUUGAAAUAUGGUUGAAAUAAGGUCAGAUGUGUUUUGAACGUUGAAAUAAUGUUGACAGAACGUUUAAUGUUGAACGGUUGAAAAACAGCCUGCAUAUGACAAGGCUUCAACGUUGAAAUGUGGUUGAAAAUACGUCAGUUGUUGUUUUAAUGUUGAAACAAUGUUGAAUGAUAAAUGGUUGAAGAAAGUUACAGAAAUCCUUGUACAAAUCAACGUUGACAUUUUUUUAUCAUGAUCUGUAUGUUGAAUUAACGUCAUGGCUUCACCCAAUAUUCAACAUGUUUGGUUACCAUGGUAUCGGAGGACUCGGCGCACGCGGCCACGCGCAGCGCUUCACUUCACUUAAUUACGAACACCUGACCUGCAGUGCAGCAGAAUUCAGAGACAUGUAACUUACUCCAGAGACGCACUAACUUGCACAGCAUUGAAUGGAAAAGGCUUUGUCCAUGUCCAGUUGAGGGCAUCAAGAACACGCAGAUAGCCUAAAUGUGUCAGCCUGGACAGACUGCAGUUCUGCUACUCCAUGCUAAGGCUUUUGUAUGGAUGUCUUGACUGCUACAGUGUUCUCUAAAGGUUUUCUGGAAGCUCCAUUUGAGGGCAUCAAGGACAUACUGAUGGCCUAAACCAGUGUCAGCCUAGACAGACAGACAUCUAUUGCAGUUCUGCUACACAAGACCAAACUCUGCUUUUGUAUGGAUGUCUGACUAGUACGGUGUUCUCUAAAGGUAUAACUGGAGCAAAACAAUAGCAUCCGUUACAGUGAAAUUUGUGUUCAUAAAAGAUAGUGAUAUAUGUGUAACAGGUCCAGUACAUUUGUCAUAAAGGUUAAAUCACAGUAAGUACUGUAAAAAUAACUUGUUUGCCUUUGCCACAACAGGUCAUGGUGUGUGCAUACUGCUCGUAGUAAACACACACGCUGAUCUGAUGCGGGAGAGAUAUGCGCAAACACAUUUGUAUUUACUGUUUUGUUUUGCCUCACUAAAGUGUUGUUGGAGCUUGGUAUGUUCACAGUUGAAAUCACUGAAGUCACAUGGAACGUUUUGACAAUGUGUUUUGUGCCUUAUCUUGACAAUGACCAUCUUGGGACCAUUGCUGUCUGUAGAGGAUGAGGCAUUUAAUCUAAAAUAUUUUAGUUUGUGUUCUGAAGAUUAACAGGUCUCUGGGAUGACACAAGUAAUUAAUAACAGAACCUAUAUGAACACUUAAUGUGACAUGUAAUAGUGAAAUAGUGGUCCUACAUUCACAAAUGUGAGCCAUUAUUAUAAGACCCCUGUAAACAUGCAAUUUUUAUGAUACUAAUAAUAAUGGAAUAACAAAUUGCUAUUACUGUUGUGUUUGUGAGAGAGAAUCAAACCAUAUAUUCUACACAUUUUCUUGAUGAUUUACUGAAAUAUUUGUCUAUGUUCCACUGUCACAGGUGCUCAGUUUUGCUGCAGUAAUGCUAAACACAAUAGAUGUACUUUAUACAAAAAAAAAAAAACUACUAAAUAUUUAGCAUGCAGACCUGCAAAGUGAAGGAGUAAUGUCAGGUUUAGAUUAUAGCAUGAGUUUUCACUAUUGUGAAAGUGAAGCCAUUCAUUCACAAUGAAUUGGAAUAGCAAACCUCGUUAUUUAUUUUGUAGGAAACUCACCUGGUGUUUGAGAAAUAAAUAUGUAUUUAAGUGCUAGACUGAUAUAGAUGUUUUAGUGUUUUACACUUGAUUCUUUGUCCCCAGUGCCAUCUUUUACCUCAAGUGUUUCUCUCAACCUAUAAAACCUCAAACAGAUGUAAUGUAU
ensembl:processed_transcript